UGAGGAAUAUUGGUCAAUGGGCGGAAGCCUGAACCAGCCAAGUAGCGUGCAGGACGACGGCCCUAUGGGUUGUAAACUGCUUUUUCGCGGGGAUAAAGAGGGGGAUGUGUCCCCCGUUGCAGGUACCGCGUGAAUAAGGACCGGCUAAUUCCGUGCCAGCAGCCGCGGUAAUACGGAAGGUCCGGGCGUUAUCCGGAUUUAUUGGGUUUAAAGGGAGCGCAGGCCGUAUGGUAAGCGUGUUGUGAAAUGCCGUGGCUCAACCAUGGCACUGCAGCGCGAACUGGUUUCCUUGAGUACGCACAAAGUGGGCGGAAUUCGUGGUGUAGCGGUGAAAUGCUUAGAUAUCACGAAGAACUCCGAUUGCGAAGGCAGCUCACUGGAGCGCAACUGACGCUGAAGCUCGAAAGUGCGGGUAUCGAACAGGAUUAGAUACCCUGGUA
rnacentral:rRNA from 1 species